rnacentral:lncRNA from 1 species
AUGCUGGUUUGGACCGCAGCUGACGUCCAAUCAGACAACGGGACCACUGCCCCUGUCAUAAUGACAACCAUGACAUCACGGCAAGGGCUCGCCGAGAGAAGACAGCGGAGCUCCAGACGGAGAGCGGGGCUGCGCGGGACUGCGAGCUGGACCGAAGCGCGCAGGUGGCGGCGUGAGGAGCGCGCGGACGCCCGGGCUGCGGAGGGUGGUGACGGGCGGGAGGCGCUGGAUGGAUUCCGGCGGCACACAGGAGCUCUGCCCCGGACUGACUCGGGCUGCAUCGGCGGCUGGAGAAAGAGGAAGUUAUGGAGGAGGCUGAGCGGAGAAAAACGCAUUUUUUUAAUUUCUGCCAAUCAAGACGAGAUGAGACAACUCCCAGCCUUGCAUUCCCGCUGGUCCUCAAAGACAAAGUUUGUUGCCUGGAGAGGUUUUUCCAGCAAAAAUUCCCAACAUUCCCAGCCAUGUAACCGAGGACUGAUGACUCAGACAUGUGACCAGGAACCAAAAAGGCAAUAUAAGCAACUGGUAGGUGCAGACACACACCCAAACACACAACAGAUCAUACAUACACAAGCAUGCUCAGACACAUGGAGCCAUGCAGAAAGAGACACCGAUGCGUUGCCCUGCCCAGCUUCCGCUGCGCUCCAAAUUGAGCGCGGCACAGUGUUUAUGAAGUCAGUUGCCUGGAUGGGAGCCAAGCAUUGUUCCAUCAAGCAGCUGGAUGUUAAUUCCUAA